rnacentral:misc_RNA from 1 species
ACAUCUCAACCCUCCAAUGUUUUUGCAUUGAAGGUGUUGGUAGUGAGCUCUGCCGGACUUUUGGUCGGCUCGUUUUAAAAUCAUUAGCUGGAUCCAUUCUGACCUGGUUCUACUCGGCGUAAUAAGUUAUUACCGUCGAGGACGCUUGUCUUUCUAGGCAGGCGGCCACAGUAAGGGUGUUUGAACCGCUUCCAACACGUCUUGCUCUUGUAGCAAACACUUGAAC